UGAGCUUACGCUUACUCUCAGCCUCUUUGAUUGGUAGGCGGGCGGGCUAAGCCCCCUACUUAAGAUUCAAUUCAUAAGGCUAAUUUUAUGUUGUCGUGAGGCUUUGGUUAGGCCGACUACUAUAGGCUAGCUACUUCUAGCUUCUAUACUGGCCCUUCCACUUUGGUGUAGUUUUUGUUUGUAUUGGUACUGAAUGAACAUAUCAAACAAAGGCGAGCAGUAUAAGCCCUUCUCCGGCCUGGGAU
rnacentral:lncRNA from 1 species